rnacentral:lncRNA from 1 species
CUGCCUUUCCCGCCUCGCUUGAGGACAUUGGUUGUCAGGUAAUAUCCCACCACGCCCUCCCAGACCUUGCUUUCCGGACUAUUUAAUCAAGGAGGGCAAUACUUUUUUUACAUUUAUUCAAAAAGCAUCGUGUGCCAUGUGCCAGGCACUGCGCAAGGUUUGGAAAUACACGGCUGACUGAAACAAAACUGCGCCUUCAAGGAGCUUACGGUCUAUUGGGGAAACAGACCAGAAACAGAUACCUACAAAAUAAAGACAAGCGCAAGGAAAGAGUGCGGCCCGGGGACCUAACAAGAACCAGGC